CGAUGCGUAGGGGUUCUGAGAGGAAGGCCCCCCACACUGGUACUGAGACACGGACCAGACUCCUACGGGAGGCAGCAGUGAGGAAUAUUGGUCAAUGGCCGAGAGGCUGAACCAGCCAAGUCGCGUGAGGGAAGAAUGUCCUAAGGAUUGUAAACCUCUUUUGUCGGGGAGCAAAAAGGCUCUGCGGAGUCGUAUUGAGAGUACCCGAAGAAAAAGCAUCGGCUAACUCCGUGCCAGCAGCCGCGGUAAUACGGAGGAUGCGAGCGUUAUCCGGAUUUAUUGGGUUUAAAGGGUGCGCAGGCGGCGUGUCAAGCAAGCGGUAAAAUAGCGGGGCUCAACCCCGUCGAGCCGUUUGAACUGGCGCGCUUGAGUUCAGGCGAGGUAGGCGGAAUUCGUGGUGUAGCGGUGAAAUGCAUAGAUAUCACGAAGAACUCCGAUUGCGAAGGCAGCUUACCAGUCUGCGACUGACGCUCAGGCACGAAAGUGUGGGUAUCGAACAGGAUUAGAUACCCUGGUAGUCCACACAGUAAACGAUGAGCGCUAGGUGUCCGGGUCGCAUGAGACUUGG
rnacentral:rRNA from 1 species